GACAGUUGGAGCUGUCCUUUUUCGGAACUUAUCCGUCCCAGAACGAGGUCAAUUGGAAGAUUGAUGCUUCUCCCGAAUGUCAUCUCGCAGGGAGAAACUCCGGUGGAUUCAUGUACAGAAGACCGAUAAGCCAUCAUGAUUGUCUCCCCUGAACUGCCAUGAACCUGUUGAGUGUUGUCCACCACACUGGUAACUGAUGAAGUCUCUGACUUUGCAUCCUUAUCUGAACCCUGUGACCUGGUGGUUACACG